rnacentral:rRNA from 1 species
UACGUAGGGUGCAAGCGUUGUCCGGAAUUAUUGGGCGUAAAGAGCUCGUAGGCGGUUAGUCGCGUCUGCUGUGAAAACUCGGGGCUUAACCCCGGGCCUGCAGUGGGUACGGGCAGACUAGAGUGCGGUAGGGGAGACUGGAAUUCCUGGUGUAGCGGUGAAAUGCGUAGAUAUCGGAAGGAACAUCAGUGGCGAAAGCGACUUCCUGGACCAAUACUGACGCUCAUGUGCGAAAGCGUGGGGAGCAAACAGG